AGUUGAUUAGUUAAUUUAUAAUAUUAGUUUGUCAAAUUAAAGAAGAAUUUAUACCUCAGUUA
rnacentral:tRNA from 1 species